GACGAACCGUGCGAGCGUUGUUCGGAAUCACUGGGCUUAAAGGGCGCGUGGGCGGGCAAGCAAGUCAGGGGUGAAAUCCCACGGCUCAACCGUGGAAGUGCCUUUGAUACUGCCUGUCUUGAGGGAGGUAGGGGCGUGCGGAACUUCCGGUGGAGCGGUGAAAUGCGUAGAUAUCGGAAGGAACACCGGUGGCGAAAGCGGCGCGCUGGACCUCUACUGACGCUGAGGCGCGAAAGCCAGGGGAGCAAACGGG
rnacentral:rRNA from 1 species